rnacentral:lncRNA from 1 species
AGCUAAUGAGCUUUAAGCUCCGGGCCCUCUGUGUACCGAAGACUUCCAAGAGCCAGACUCGAACUGCGUCUUCUCCGUGCGACCUCCUCCCCCUGGCUGUUUUAAGUUUCCAGUCGCACAACACGUGGGUUCGCCGGGCUCGGUGUUAUCACUUCCCUCCUUUGGCACACAGGGUAAAGUUACGUCGCCCAAGAUCUCGCACUUCUGCGCGGCGGAGCGAGCCGCAGGGAGCCCGACUCGGAGCCCACACUCGAGUCGCCACCGCCGACGGCGAUGACCACGGCCUCGAGGGACAGACCUGUGUCGAAGAUCUUCAUGUACCCGGACAUUCUCAGAAUUCAGAGAUGAAUAAAAUGUUUUGUCCCCCUAGCCCUCUCCAUCCAGUGGGGGAGAUUAAUGUGCAAACAGCUACAGUAUAACCUGGUUAUGAGAUGAUAAAGAUAGCAAAUGAACAACAAAGUCCUCUGCAAAAGGUGUACCUAGCAUUUAGAUUUCUGUGUUCUUUUUGUUUUUCAAUCAGAUAAAAUUCAAGUGUAAUCAUGUACUGAUGAUCUCAAAUGGAAGUGACUUCUGGUUUCAUGGUGACUCUAAAUUUACUGGGUAUUCUGUCUUUUUACUAAGCACUCUGUCAUUUUAUAUUUCUGAAAGUCCCAGCUCUGUCAGAAGUUCAGAAAGGGUUGUUAAGGAGAAAACUUUAAAGUGUGCCCUGUGUUUGUACUAUUUAGUUCCUCUUAAAAUAGUAUUUGGAUAAGUCAUUUUGGAGAAUGCACUUUUGAAAGUUGUUUUAGUUUUUCGUUCUCGGUAUGUUAAAAGUUUAAAGCGACAGACACUGCAGGCACAAAGGAAGGUGAGAGGAAUAAAGGGAAGUGGGGAGGAGAAAAGACUUUGAUGGGAUUGAAGGUGAGGGAAAAGGAAAUGAGUGAAUCAAACCUCGUAGCUGGCUUCUCGGUGGCUUACAUAUUUUUACUAAACAUAUAAAUUUUGUUAUUUCAACACAUCAUGUAGAAGGACAUCGUAUGAAGUGGUUGGUGCUGAAAAGCUGAGCUAAGCCCAAGUGGAAUAACUACUAGCUGGUGACCCUUGACAGGUCCCUCACCCAGCUGUAUCUGCUCAUUUGUACAAUGUGGGUAACCAGAUGAUCUGGGGGAGACUUGUGAAGAUGAGCAGCCUGUGGGCCCGCAGGCAUGUGGCCGUGGUGGGCUGUGGUGGGCUGUGGUGGGGCAUGGCCACUGCUCCUGGUCCUGGCUCACCUUGUGUGGUCCUGCUGCAAACAGGCAUUGGUGGGCUUCGCAGACAGUACAGUCCCCCUUGGACAGCUGUAGAAAGAGAC